rnacentral:rRNA from 1 species
UACGAAGGGGGGCUAGCGUUGCUCGGAAUUACUGGGCGUAAAGCGCACGUAGGCGGCUUUCUAAGUCGGGGGUGAAAUCCUGGAGCUCAACUCCAGAACUGCCUUCGAUACUGGAAAGCUCGAGUCCGGGAGAGGUGAGUGGAACUGCGAGUGUAGAGGUGAAAUUCGUAGAUUAUUCGCAAGAACACCAGUGGCGAAGGCGGCUCACUGGCCCGGUACUGACGCUGAGGUGCGAAAGCGUGGGGAGCAAACAGG